GACGGGACCGCACAAGCGGUGGAUGAUGUGGUUAAUUCGAUGCAACGCGAAAACCUUACCACCUUGACAUGUACGGAAUCCUUUAGAGAUAGAGGAGUGCUCGAAAGAGAGCCGUAACACAGGUGCUGCAUGGCUGUCGUCAGCUCGUGUCGUGAGAUGUUGGGUUAAGUCCCGCAACGAGCGCAACCCUUGUCAUUAGUUGCUACAUUCAGUUGGGCACUCUAAUGAGACUGCCGGUGACAAACCGGAGGAAGGUGGGGAUGACGUCAAGUCCUCAUGGCCCUUAUAGGUGGGGCUACACACGUCAUACAAUGGAUGGUACAAAGGGUCGCCAACCCGCGAGGGGGAGCCAAUCCCAUAAAGCCAUUCGUAGUCCGGAUCGCAGUCUGCAACUCGACUGCGUGAAGUCGGAAUCGCUAGUAAUCGUGGAUCAGCACGCCGCGGUGAAUACGUUCCCGGGCCUU
rnacentral:rRNA from 1 species